UGUUGCCCUCCCUGCUUUCCAGCCAGAGGCAUUUGCUCCAAGGCUCAGCCUGUGGCCCACUUACUGCAUCCACCCAGGAGCCUGACUCCUCGGAGAGGAAGGAGGGGGACACCUUGAUUGAUCUGAAGAAGGAAAUGAGCCUGAAAGGUGUCUUCAGUAAUAUGAAACUCAGUCUCCUGUCAAAGCCCACUGAUUGACUC
rnacentral:lncRNA from 1 species